GAUGAACGCUAGCGGCAGGCCUAAUACAUGCAAGUCGGACGGGAUUCAGGAGCUUGCUUCUGAUGAGAGUGGCGCACGGGUGCGUAACACGUAUGUAACCUACCUUUAUCAGGGGGAUAGCCUCUCGAAAGAGAGAUUAAGCCCGCAUAAAAUCACAGCACAGCAUUGUGUAAUGAUCAAAUAUUUAUAGGAUAAAGAUGGGCAUGCGGAACAUUAGCUAGAUGGCGGGGUAACGGCCCACCAUGGCGACGAUGUUUAGGGGAUCUGAGAGGAUGGCCCCCCACACUGGUACUGAGACACGGACCAGACUCCUACGGGAGGCAGCAGUAAGGAAUAUUGGCCAAUGGGCGGAAGCCUGAACCAGCCAUGCCGCGUGCAGGAAGACGGCCCUACGGGUUGUAAACUGCUUUUAUACGGGAAUAAACCCAGAUACGUGUAUCUGGCUGAAUGUACUGUAAGAAUAAGGAUCGGCUAACUCCGUG
rnacentral:rRNA from 1 species